ensembl:lncRNA
AUGGAGCAGCUCUUUUUUCUUCUCAUUCCCCUGUUUGCAUCUUCAUCCAUAAUCUCAGCAGGAAAUGACACAAACAUAUCAACUACAGUACCUCCAAACACAACUGCUACGUCUCCAUUGUCUGUUGUUUCAAGAGCAGAAGUCCAAAAAAAUGUGACUUCGUCAUCUCAACAUGAGAAUGGCAUGACCACUCACCCCUCAAAAAAUGUGAGCACAACCACAGCUCCUGUGUCUUCUAGCCACACAGGACAGUCCAUCAUCACCAGCUCAACGUUAACCACACUAAAAUCCAACGCUGACUCAACUCUAAAUUCCACCUCAUCCCCAGUGACCAAAAUAACAGGCAGUACUGAUGGAUCCGGCCUCUCUUCACAUAAAACAACAGUGGGUGUUACUCCAAAGACUUUAAAUACUGCUAAUUCAAACAUCAGCAUGUCAGAGGUGACGGCAACACCUUCACAGGCACCAGACAGCGGUCUCACUUUGCUCGCCUUUGGUGUGAUGAGUUUCAUACUCAUUUUAAUUGUUGUCAUGGGGGUCUUGGUGACUGCUAUCAACCUCAGGGGACGGUGUAGAAAUACUAAACAGCACGAGAGUAUUAAAAGCUGUGAUCCUGUGGUGUCUGACAGCAGCACAACCAGCAACUUUGAGAAAGAGAGCAUCACUCUUGUCUCUGUGAGGACUAUAAACACAGAAAACAAUACAGAUUCUCCUCAGAUGUCUUCAGUUCGUAGCACUAUAGUGGAUAAUGAUGACCAAGAAUUUACCAGAGACCUACUGGGCAUCAAAGACGGACUGUGAUUUUACUCAGUUCGUAGUGCACAAGAUUGGAGGCUACAUACUCUAUUUAUAAUACAAACCCGAUUCCAAAAAAGUUGGGACACUGUACAAAUUGUGAAUAAAUACAGAAUGCAAUGAUGUGGAAGUUUCA